rnacentral:rRNA from 1 species
AGUGAACGCUGGCGGUAGGCCUAACACGUGCAAGUCGAACGGCAGCACAGUAAGAGCUUGCUCUUACGGGUGGCGAGUGGCGGACGGGUGAGGAAUACAUCGGAAUCUACUUUUUCGUGGGGGAUAACGUAGGGAAACUUACGCUAAUACCGCAUACGACCUACGGGUGAAAGCAGGGGAUCUUCGGACCUUGCGCGAUUGAAUGAGCCGAUGUCGGAUUAGCUAGUUGGCGGGGCAAAGGCCCACCAAGGCGACGAUCCGUAGCUGGUCUGAGAGGAUGAUCAGCCACACUGGAACUGAGACACGGUCCAGACUCCUACGGGAGGCAGCAGUGGGGAAUAUUGGACAAUGGGCGCAAGCCUGAUCCAGCCAUACCGCGUGGGUGAAGAAGGCCUUCGGGUUGUAAAGCCCUUUUGUUGGGAAAGAAAAGCAGCAGGUUAAUACCCCGCUGUUCUGACGGUACCCAAAGAAUAAGCACCGGCUAACUUCGUG